GAGUCAUCAUGUUCCUGGAAUAAGCAUAAGGAAUUCAGAGAUGUACCUCUGAUCAGCAUAGCAGAUGUUCUUUUCAGUGAGAGAAUAAAGAACCGAAUAAAGGAAUGGUAUGUUGAAUUGUUACAUGAGAGAAAUUGUGAACGACAGUUCAAUGAGAGCUCAAGUGACUCAAAACAGCAACUUCAGACCAUCUUCUAGAGAACAUGCCCUGCUCUUGCCCUUAGUGGGUUCACGGCUCAUCAGCUCAGGUUGAUUCAGCUGGUUAUGAGAAAUCACUUUGAAGAUAUUGUAUAUGUUUGUGUGAAUGUUCAAAACGCUUGUCCAACCGUUGCUUGUGUAUACGGACGGCAACACUGACAAGGACCUUCUAAUGUCAAGCUGAAUUGAAAUCUUAUCUGAUGGCUGGAUUGAAAUGAUCAGUGACAAUAAGAGCCAGACCAUGAACUUUGAAGCACCUGUUGCUUCGCAAUUUGUGCUGGAUGUUCUGUAAAGGGCAAAGCAGCAUUUUAGACAAAGAGGUGGAGGAUGAGAAUCGCAGAGGAGAAGAGUUAAAGAUUCAUUUGGCUGUUGGAUUUCUUCAUGUUAUAGACCUUUUUAUCUUCUGAGCAGAAAUUGAUUGUUGGUCAUAAUUGCUUUCUAGAUGUUGCCCAUAUAUAUAGGAAGUUCUUUGGUGAGCUUCCCUUCUCAGCUGAAGAGUUUGUUGCUUCUGCUAACAAACACCUCCCGUAUAUUAUUGACACCGAAGUUCUUUUGAAUUCAAGUGACAUACUUAAGUACUGGAUGAGGAAGUCCAAAACAUCUGUCCUCUUCAUUUAUCAGAUUGUGGCCUCAAAUUUCUCUAGGUUCCACGAGUACGGAUUUGGCUUCAAAAGCUUGCGUGAAAGUGGAGGUUCAAGUAGAUGAUUCGAGUAUUGAUCCAGAAGAGAUAAUUCAGAAGCACUUACAAUUCAGCUUCAAUCCUCCUCAAAGAUGGAGAAGAAAAACAAGAAAGAGGGGUGGCGGGAGAGAGUGAAAAAGCACUAAUUAAUGUGUAUUUAUACUACAAGUGUGGCAAGUGCUGGGUCAUAAAUGUCCUCUGGUUUGUGCUUCUCCUACAAGAGCAAGGCCUGGAGAUGUUUAUAAGAGUUAGACCAAUUUUAUGAAUUUAGUUCUUUCAUUUGGCCAGUGUAAUCUAUAUGAUCACGGGAUUUUUUCUCUAUUGCAUGUAUGCUGAUUCACUAAAUUCAGUGUAUCUAGUGUUUUUCCCCUUCA